UACAGAGGGUGCGAGCGUUAAUCGGAAUUACUGGGCGUAAAGCGCGCGUAGGCGGCUUUGCAAGUCGAGUGUGAAAUCCCCCAGGCUCAACCUGGGAACUGCAUUCGAGACUGCAUAGCUAGAGUAUGGGAGAGGGAAGUGGAAUUUCAGGUGUAGCGGUGAAAUGCGCAGAUAUCAGGAGGAACACCAGUGGCGAAGGCGGCACUCUGGGCCGGUACUGACGCUGAGGAGCGAAAGCGUGGGGAGCGAACAGG
rnacentral:rRNA from 1 species